CGAAGGCAGUCGCUUAACCAACUGAGCCACCCAGAACACUUCUCUCAGCAUGGAAAAGCUCAGGAUAGCCUUCAUGGAGAGAGAGGCCCAGAAUCCCAGCCAUUCCAGACAUCGCAAAUGAGGUCCCAGAUAGAGGAUUUCAUAGGCUGUCGUGUAAGAAGUUACCAAAAUGGGCAAAAGACCAGAACAGGAACUUCACAGAAGAGAAAACCCAAUUAGACAAUAAACACAUGGAAAAAUGCUCAACCUCAUUAUUUUCAAGGAAAAGAUACAUUCAGGUACAAGUUUAUAUCCAUCAGGCUGGCAAAAAUUAAUGUCCAAUACUGAGUGUUGGCAAUGCACAGAACAAUGCAAACUCUAAUACUUUGCUACUGGGAGUGUAAAUUG